AACCAGCUAGCUCAAUCGGUAGGGCACGAGACUCUUAAUCUCAGGGUUAUGGGUUUGAGCCCACUGUUGGGUG